rnacentral:lncRNA from 1 species
UCCGGUGUGCGAUGAUGUAGUCUGCGCGCGUAGAACUUGGUUUUGAGUAUGUGAGCUACACGUGGCGUUGGUAGUUCCGGCGUGUGAGCUAUGGAGUUUCGUCCCCCGGUUGGACCGCUCAUCCCUAGCCGCAAGAUAUCACCUGGAAAUCCUACGGGCUAGCCAAACAAUCCCCCGGUUAGAUUGUUUCCCCAGUACAUAAGUAAUGAGAGAAGUAUAUGAUAUAUCUAUAUUUAUAUAUUUAUAUAUAUAUGCAUAGGUGUGAGUACAAAUCCAUUAAAGUAUAUGUAGUGGGCUGGCAAAAGCAGUAUAAGUUUGGGAAUGGAGUUUGUGGUUUGGGAU